rfam:Schistosoma curassoni strain Dakar, Senegal genome assembly, scaffold: SCTD_scaffold0000099
GCACUGCUGAGGAGUCACUAAACAGGACGAAACGGCCGUCCAGUGC